rnacentral:rRNA from 1 species
ACUCCUACGGGAGGCAGCAGUGGGGAAUAUUGCACAAUGGGCGCAAGCCUGAUGCAGCCAUGCCGCGUGUAUGAAGAAGGCCUUCGGGUUGUAAAGUACUUUCAGCAGUGAGGAAGGUGGGUAUGUUAAUAGCAUAUUCAUUUGACGUUAGCUGCAGAAGAAGCACCGGCUAACUCCGUGCCAGCAGCCGCGGUAAUACGGAGGGUGCGAGCGUUAAUCGGAAUUACUGGGCGUAAAGCGCAUGCAGGUGGUUUGUUAAGUCAGAUGUGAAAGCCCGGGGCUCAACCUCGGAAUUGCAUUUGAAACUGGCAAACUAGAGUACUGUAGAGGGGGUAGAAUUUCAGGUGUAGCGGUGAAAUGCGUAGAGAUCUGAAGGAAUACCGGUGCGAAGCGGCCCCCUGGACAGAUACUGACACUCAGAUGUGAAAGCGUGGGGAGCAAACAGGAUUAGAUACCCUGGUAAGGCUCUGC